AGUAAAGAAUAUAUGAUGGUAAAUUAGAAGUAUUAGUAUUAAUUAAAAUAUUGUUUCUCUUAUUUCUCUAUUAUAUGUUAAGUGACUUGACUAAGUCUUUAAGAUUAUUUGUGAUCUGGAUUUAUAUAUAAGCUGUUAAAUAUAUAUGAACUGUUAAAAUGGAAUGCAAGCUUUUCAAAAGCCCAGGUCUAAAUGUAAUGAUUGG
rnacentral:lncRNA from 1 species